GGAAAGGGUACAAUCCAAGUAGUUGGUUUGGUAGCUGGUAUGAGUGGUUUGGAGGGCUUAAGGCAGUGGUAGGUGGAGUCCUACUGAUUUUAAUGUUGUGUCUACUCCUGCCGUGUCUUAUACCCUCAGUAGUUAGGUCUGUGCAAAGCCUGAUAGAAAAUAUAGCAGAGAGGAAGGCUGCUGCACAGAUAAUGGCAAUUUAUAAAUAUAAGGCUCUAGAUCAGGG